GACGAACGCUGGCGGCGUGCUUAACACAUGCAAGUCGAACGGAAAGGCCCUGCUUUUGUGGGGUGCUCGAGUGGCGAACGGGUGAGUAACACGUGAGUAACCUGCCCUGACUUUGGGAUAACUUCAGGAAACUGGGGCUAAUACCGGAUAGGAGCUCCUGCUGCAUGGUGGGGGUUGGAAAGUUUCGGCGGUUGGGGAUGGACUCGCGGCUUAUCAGCUUGUUGGUGGGGUAGUGGCUUACCAAGGCUUUGACGGGUAGCCGGCCUGAGAGGGUGACCGGCCACAUUGGGACUGAGAUACGGCCCAGACUCCUACGGGAGGCAGCAGUGGGGAAUAUUGCACAAUGGGCGGAAGCCUGAUGCAGCAACGCCGCGUGCGGGAUGACGGCCUUCGGGUUGUAAACCGCUUUCGCCUGUGACGAAGCGUGAGUGACGGUAAUGGGUAAAGAAGCACCGGCUAACUACGU
rnacentral:rRNA from 1 species